GCGGGCGUCGUAUAAAGGCUAAUACGUGGGCUUCCCAAGCCUGAAAUGAGGGUUCGAUUCCCUCCGCCCGCACCA
rnacentral:tRNA from 1 species